AUACGAUACUUUAGGAGCAACAGAAGUCCGAUUUUUUCGACUCAUUGAUUAUUCGAUUUAAUGGACCGACUAGAAAAUUAGUUGUUUAAAAAAUAAAUACAUUUAAUUUUGAAUGACUGAAGAAAUCUUAGUCGACUCUUGGACCCAAAAUUAUUGAUUAAAUGACUCCUUGACUAAGAAAAUGUAAAAAGGAGCUUUUGGUUUGACCCUUCUGGGCUACCGUAGAAACCCGAUGUAGAUAUGUUGGGGCUCAUUCUCAGCCAAUUAGACGAUGAAAGCAUCCUUUUCAAUGUUUAUUUCCCCCUAAAUGCCACGCUGGCCCUUUAAGACACUCGUCUUCAGUCUGGGGAGGAACAGAGUUUAAUCUCAUUAAUAUUCUGAUUGUGCUUCUUCCAACAUGAAGUUCAUUCGAGAGCAGGGUGUCCGCGGGUCCUUAAAAAGUCUUAAAUUGCUUUUCCUAAAAAUAAGGCCUUAAAAAGUCUUAAAUUGUCUUAAAUUCAGAUUGGAUUGGUCUUAAAUUGUUUGGGUGUCAUGUCCAGGGGUUUUCCUGGGUCAAAAUGGGUCUUCGGUGCUCCCAAAAAAUAUGUUGGCGCGCGCACCGUCUAUCUGUGCAGGUCGGGCUGUUGAGUGAUCAGCAGCUGGCCGCUCGGUCCAUUUGCGCACCUCACAGUUGCGUAUUGAUCAGACAAGAAGACACGCUUAUCAACUCCAGUGUUUCCCCUAUAACAGGGUGAAAUCCCCUGCAAACAAUUCUCGGCUCGCGCGACAGAGCGAUGCGCGCGCCGGCAUCGAAGCUCUGCCGUGAUGCGCGCACACGGGUGAGCACCGCGUAUUCGGUCCUAUCAAUCCCCUACAACGUGAAGCAUCGGCUACUUUAGAAAACAUGGCAGGAUGCAAGUUCAACAACGGCUUGAAAAGAACGAGUGUUUCUGGUCACGGUGGGUGAAAUGCUUCUGAAGCUGCGUUAUGUGUCGCGAGACUUUCCAGCGGUGGAAUCUCACGAGCAGAGCAAGAAGCACAGAGACUAGCGAAGGCCGCCAGCAGCGCGCGGGGCUAGCUGCUGCUCCGCCGCUCGCAACGACGUCAACGCUACAACGCUGGAGGUCACCGGAGGAAAUCCAGCGCCUUGCAACAAAGAGCUCAUCACCGAAGUCCAACGCUGCAGUGCGUUCUUCAUUCUGUUCCACGAGACUCUGGACCAGACCACCGCGAGCAGACAGCUGGACUUCAUGUGCUCUUGGUGAAAUGACCACGUCCCGUCAGGAUCCUGUGGAGCUCAUGGGCCAUGACACCAGGACCUACUUCAGCACCUCAAAGAGAAUGGACCAAAUGUCAACUGGAAGUUUUUAUAUUAAUACAGUUUGAAAAGGAUUGUUUUCCUAGUAUAUUCACAAAAGCUCAGGAGGAGACGUAUGAACCUGUGACACACACAUCCAUCACAUGGAGACAUGAGAACUCACACACACACACACACACACAUACAUUCUAUUAUGUAAAUGAAUUUGCAUUUUAAAAGCAGCUGGAAAUGUUAUUUGUUUUAUGGAUUUUUUUUGUUCAAAAGGAACUAUGUUGCAUGGAUUUUUUAAAUAUAUUUACUUAUUUUUAGAGACAUUUGUUCAUGGGACUUAAAUGUUCUGAAAAUGUAUUAAUAAAUAUAAUUUACAACAGCAA